GGAUGAGAAGCUGAAAAAUCCUUGACUUUAGACUAAACACUACUUAGCAACAACUGAAAACACCAGUGUUAUCAACAUUCUUCGUAUAUUCAACUCAAAACAUAGCACUGUACCAGUGUAUUGGAAGACAGUUAACUCUAUCCCAGCUGAAACCAGGACAGCUAGCAACUCACCUUCUUCAAGGCCAGAUGGACCUCCUGUGACAGCAGAUACCAUGGUACUACUUGUCAUGCAAGCGUAACACAUUCAGAAAGCGCUCAGCCAUCUUACUGGGUAUGGAAACAAAACUGAAUCAAAACUAGGUUUGGAUGUCUCUGGAUGAACUCAAACUUCCCAAUCUUUCGCAUGUGUCUGGUAAAAAUACUAAGACAUUGUCAUUGCUUACAAUUUAAAAUGGACCACCGAAAUGAUAAAAAAGAAUGUUGCAGCAGUUAGAACAUUUAUCUGGAAAAAAAUAAAAGGGAAGAAAAAGAGGAGUGCUGCUUGCUUCUACAGAUUACUUGUGCUGUGCUGCACUAGCAAAUCCUCUAGCCUUGUAAACAAUGACUCAGUUCCCUCUUCUACCUCCCCUUUUCUGAGCAUCCUCAAGAUUAUGAAGAAUCCUCAAGCUUUUGAAGCCACCUGAACAACACAGCCAUCUAAAUCCUAUUGUCAUAUAUGACUACAGAAUUUAAGCAUCAUUAGAGCUUAGUUUGUUCAAGUCCUAGUAUCACCUUUGAAAAUGAGUGUCACAACAUUUUAUCUUUAUAAAAUUUCUCUCUAGGCUUGUCUUUUUUUUUAUUAUUCUUACUAUUCUUUAAUUUCAAACAGGGAGCUAUGUUGAUUCUGAGGUAAAGAAGUAUAUUAAUAAUUCUGAAAUGCUCAGAUGCUGUGGUAUUUUUAGAUACACUGAAAAGGCUUAUCCUUCCUUGCUACUUUAGUGGUUGGCAGAGAGGAUGCACAGUCAAGGAGCAAUUCUGGCCAGCUGUGCUAGCUGUCACAUAUCUUAAUGAACUGCACUCAGAAAAGUAGCAGAAAUUCUAUGAAAUACUUGCUCUGAUGUAAUGUGACCACUCACUUGUAUUGUGUUUCCAAUACUGUCAAUUUAGUUUGUAUUCUAAUCCUUUGUUGAUCUGAAAAAUAUUUAAGUAUAUUGAUUGACACUCUAAAGCAGCAAGUGCUCAAGCAUCCUGUAGAUUUGCUAAGUUCCCACCGUGAAAAUUGUUCUGGGUUUCUACUGAAAAAGGUAAAAGUUGCAGAACAAAGGUGAUAUAUUUUCUUUUCCAUAAAUUCAUAAUAUUUUUUACCAUUGUUUUGUCCUACAUUGUUGGUAUGUAUCUCUGCUCCUGCAGAACAUGACAGACCAAAUUAUAUAUUUACAAUACUAAGACCAUAUUUAUAGGAAAAAAAAGUUUUAUUCAAAUAAUUAAAAAUUAAAUACAUUUUAGCCUAGCAUAUGAUAUACUUAAGGAUCUUUGUUACUCCUGUUAAAAAGUUGAAAUAAAUCAUUCUUGCUUAUCAUCAAACAUUUGCCUAGAUAUUUUUCCUUUGGUGGCAGAAGUUUAGCAAUGAAAAUGAACUAACAUUUCAGUAUUUAUUGUAUUUCUGCUUUGCUUUAUGUUUUGGUUGUUUUUUUUUUUCCAAGAAAGGAAUCCUCUUCUCAUAUAUUUAUUCUUUUUAAGGAGUUCUCAUAGGCCUGAAUUAGGAAAAAAGGUCUUGAAAAGGAAGCCUUUGAUGAGAUCUGGAUGUUACAAGUUAAGAGUGAGCAUCAAUAAGCUUUUAGGUUACUUGACAAAUCAUUAAGAAGUACAGUGUAUUAAAAAUACAGAAUCAAAUUCUAUGGCCCAUAUGUAUUGUCCAUUUGUGUAGCAAUAUUAACUAAUGUCAUGUGUCAUGAUCUACACUAUUUUUCCAACAGUAUUCAACCGAUAUAUAUGAAUUUCACUUAAACUUUCUAUUGACUCUCCUUGUUGGGAUGAUUUCUUACAGUAGUCUUAACAUAAAAGAUCUUUGCACAUUUUCCCCGUAUAAAUUGUUCUGCUAAUCAUCAUGGUUUCCUCACUGGGACAUAAAUACCAAAGGAACUGGGAAGUGAUGGUGAUUUGUUUAGACUGUAGCUUAUUUUAAUUUUACUUCAUAAAGUUAUCUUUAUUUUUACUUAAGAACAGAUACUAAAAACAAAGCAGCAAUAACAUAAAAAAUCCUUGUACAAAACAACCUUUUCCUCUGCAUGGAGCAGACUUUUUUUCUAAUGCAGCAACCUUACUUCUGAUAGUGUCUAGCAACAGAUUAUAUUAAUGGUAUGUUCAGCUGAGACUGAGAUGGUUUGGUCUAUUGCUGUUCAUUGUUAGUAUCUUAUCCAGAAUGAGUAGGAUGAACUCUGCCUGCCACUAAUGCUCAAUUUAUGUUUCCUUCUGUCUUUAUUUCGGCAGGAGAAUGUGCUAGAUGAGAUACUGAAAACAGAUGUAUAACACCAGAUGAAAAAAUUCUGCAUCAUGUUGAAUUUCUGUGGGCAGCUGGUAUUAUACCUUUUAAAUGUCUCUUUAUGUUUACCAGAAUAGCAUAAUAGUCAAUUCACUCCUCAAUAACAAGCUGGCUGUUCUUGGUCAAUAGAAAGGUGAUACAUCUAUUUCUCUUUCCAUAAUAGAGGCUUUCUAGUUCAUCCAUUAGUUUCACACUUGAAUUAAAAUCUAAACAAGUGAAGGAAAAAAACAUCCAAACUAAGUUGUGCACAAGUACUGAAAAUAGGAAAGGUUGAAGGGACAAUUCCUACUUGUAGUACAUUAAACAGAUUGCAGUUGUUUGUUUCUUUCUUUGUUUGUUUUUUUCCUUUGUUGGUUUGUUUUUUCUUGAAUUACUUUGUAUACUUAUACUGGAGCAUUCUUUCAGGGCCACUUUUACUUGAAGAUGCCUUAAUAUUAUGCACAUAAAUAUAAUGGUCUAGAACCCUUUGUUAUAAACACAUUAUAAUUCCUCAGACAUUCUUUAUGACAUAGCAUAAAAAGUCCAACACAAAAAA